rnacentral:misc_RNA from 1 species
UAUCCGUAGGUGAACCUGCGGAGGGAUCAUUACAGAGUUCUCGCCCUCACGGGUAGAUCUCCCACCCAAUGCUAUCGUUACCACUGUUUCUUUGGCGGGCCGCCGGGCCCUGCUCGGCCGCCGGCUCCGGCUGGCGCGGGCCCGCCAGAGGCCCUUUAAACCCUGAAUGUCAGUGUCGUCUGAGUACUAUACAAUAGUUAAAACUUUCAACAACGGAUCUCUUGGUUCUG